UGCUGCGGCAGUAGAGAUCCCGCGCCCAGGGACUUCGGCACGCGGACCGACUUUCUCCUUCUUCCAUUCUGUGCGUCCAUGAUGGUUAUAACAACACACUAAAUUUGCAAGGGACCGUGAGUACAAACGACUUGGAAAUCACACCCACACAAGAGCUCCAACAGCGCGCCAACGUACGUGGUACCACAGACUGAUUUAUAAAAUCCCGGGUAUUAAGAACUAUUUUUUUCUUCUCUUAUCUGAUUUCUUUAUCCUGUGAAUAUUUGUGAAUUUAAACGUGUAGUUCCUGUUGAUUGAUGUUGUGCACAUUUGGGGGGCUAUCUUAAGACAUGCAUGGGAGUUAACACUCAUACAGACACAUCACACAAUUCCCUGGUUUAUAUUUUGUAGCAUCACCAAUUCCUCUCCCAUGCAAAAUACUGUGUGUAUGACCCGGUAGGUAAUAGUAUUUAAAAAAAAAAAUAGGAAUUGAGUGAGGGGGCCACAUAAAGAAAAUCAAUGAUGACAAAGGAGGGAGGAGGAAGGGAGGAGGGAGAUGAGGGAGGAGGGAAGGAAGGAAGGAAGGAAGGAAGAAAAGGAUAGAUGGAAGGAAGGAGGGAGGGAAGGAGAGAAAGAAAAGGAAGGACGAAGGAGAGAAAGGAAAGAAAGAAAAGGGGGAAAAUAAAGAAAAGGAAGUAAGAAUGAGAGAAAGGAAGGAAGGAAGGAAAGGGAGAGAAAGUGAAGAAGAGAAGAAAGUAGGAAGAAGAAAGAGGAGAAGAAGAAGAGACAGGAGAGAAAGGAGGAGGUAAAGAAAGAAGUAAGGAGGGAAGGAGAGAAAGAAAAGAAGAUGAGGAAGUAGGAAUUAAGGAAGAGAAAAAGUAAAUGAGAAAAAAAAGGAAAGGAAGUAAGAAGGAAAAGAGAGGGAGUAAGGAAGAAAAGAAUGAAAUUAAGAAAGAAGAAGAAGAGAGGAGAGAAGUAGGAGAAAGGGGAAGGAAAGAAGAGAUAGGGAGGAGGAAAGAAGAAGAAGGAGAUAAAGGAAAGUAAAAGCGUCCUCAGACUUGGUCUCUCAGGAUCCCUCAGGUCCUCGUUUCUUCUGUUUCUGUUUCCUGGUCUUUGUGAAAGAGAAAACUGAGAACUGAGAUCUCAUCAGAGUCCUGGACCUUCACAGACCGGUUUGAUCAGCUGAUCUUCAUCAGAGCUGCUGCUGCUUCAUUAACCAUGACCGUGGAGAAACUUUCCCAUGAUGCUUUUAGCUCAUGUGCAGAAACCGUCUGUUUACUUUAGUGUGUUUGAAGGUUUAUCUGGUCCCUCCUGUGUCCAGCCCUAAAGGACCCCAGACCCUCAGAGAUAGAUCGGAUCUUUUCGAGGAUUCAGGGCUCUGUCGGCAGAGUAAUGUGUCUCGGCACAAAGGGAACGAUUGAAGCAAAAGGAUCAAAAGAAAGAAAGAGAGGAGGAGGAGGAGGGUAAGAAGAGAAAGAGAGUCAAAGAAAACGUAUUCCAAUAUGGAGAGAGGAUAAACCUGCAGAUAGAAGGAGAGGAAGAAGAAAGCGUGUUUUUGUGUCUGCGAGAAAAUAAAAGAGCGAGCAGGUCCCAUCGGCUGGCAGGAGGUCAAUGAACGGAGCGGGACACUGAGCCGAGUGUUCGCCUCCCUGAAUGGAGCUCCUCAGGGAGAUCCAGCGCACACACAUUUACUCUCUCACGUUCAUGGAGGUCGAAGCUCAGUCAUCGAAUCCUUUUGAUGAGCCACCGAUGAACACGGGAGUAAAGAAGUCAUUGUGCCGGAGAGAAAAACCAGCCCUGAGAUCGGAGUCGAGAUACAGGACCGCGUCACAGCUGGGGGGAGAGAUAUGGUCCUGGUUUAUUUUACAACCAGGAUCAAUGUUUAGACUUUAAAAACAUGAGGGUUAUAGUGUAAGGUGAAGAGUUUAACUUCAUGAGAAUCCAGCUAACUCGAGAGUUCCUGAUUCUUCUGCCAAACAAACUCAAACCAAACCAUCAACCCAGCACAUCUCCAAAUUCACACAGACUCACACGAACUAAACUUUAAAGGGAUAUAAUAUCAGAUAUUUAAUGUGCAUUUUGCUGUUUGUCAUUAGUUAAUGGAACAUGCUUUCUAAACUCUGUUGGCUUGACUGAAUCUAUAAAUACUUGAAAUAAAAAUGGCGCUUCAGAGAUAUUUGUACACGACUCAGUAUAAGAAAAGGUGAGUUUUUGGGUCAUGAUAGGGCCUCGAAAUCUAGAAUCAGUCAGCCAAAGAAACAAACAAAUCAACCAAUCAAGAAAAAAACAAACUAACCAACGAACAUACGAACCAAACAACAAACCAAACAACUAAUUAUGAAGCAACCAAGAAACUAACUUACUAAUAAAGCAAACAACAAAGCAACCGAUCAAAAAUCUAAUGAACCAACAAACUUACAAACCAAGCCACAAACUAACCAACUCACUAACGAACCAACUAAACCAACCAAUCAGCCAACCAACUAAGUUACUAACGAACCAACCAAUAAACAUACGAACCAAGCAACAAAUCGACCAACUUAUUAAUGAAGCAACCAACCAAUCAGACAACCAAGAAACUAUUGAACUAACCAACCAACUAACGAAUAAAGCAAACAACUAACCAACAAACCAACCAGCCAACUGAUAAACUUACUAAUGGAACAACCAAUCAAAUAACUAGUAAAUCAAACAACAAAUCAAAAAUCAGACAAACUAAUCAACCAACAAACAUCCGAACCAAGUUAUAAAACCAAACUAACUCACUAAUUAACCAAACAACCAGCCAAUCAUAUAACUCACUAAUGGAACGAACAAUCAAAUAACUAAUAAAGCAAACAACAAACCAGCCAACCAAUUAACUUCCCAAUGAACCAACCAACCCAAUCAACAAACCAAUCAAGUCACUAAUGAACCAACCAAUCAAAUAACCAGUAAACCAAACAUCAAACCAACAAACCAGCGGACCACCUGAGACUCCGGAGGUCCUCGUGGUCCUCUCCCAGCGUUUGGUCCUUGGCCUCUUAAAUGGAGUUGUUUUCCUCUGCAGAUUGGUUGUGUACUUCGGCUAAAGGACUCUAAAACCCUUAAAGUGCUGCAGAUGCACACAGACACUCACUUCUUCACCCCCCUCAGACAUUUAAAGACCUGUUCCACAUAAAUAGCUCUAAUUGGCCUAUUUACAUCCAUUUCCUCAGCAUGAGGACUGGGUGACAAACAGACUGAGGAGCAGGAACAUUUUGUCUCUCAGUCUGUUUAAUAUCUUCUCGCUCUGUAAAUGCUCGGCUUGUUACUUGUCUAAAGGUCACUGUAGGAGACUUGAAUCUGUUUUUCAGAUUAUUUCUGUCUCUCAUUUUGUCUAAUGUGAUGAUGGAGGCAGAUUUCUUCAGUUUCUGAAAGAGGUCUUGGAUAUCUGAUCAGAUUAUGGAUCUAAAAACGGAUUCCUUCGGUCAAAUCUGCAGAUUGAGAGAAUCUGAAGUCUCAUUAUUUCCUUUUAUUAGCCUGAGAUCCAGCGCGUCUGUUAUUCCUCCGGAGCUUGUAAUCAUCUUCCUUUUUAACGUCUUGUUCGGCACAUUAUCCAGCCUGAGCUGACGCUGAAACAGGAGGGAGGGGGAGUUUGUUUACGGCGUGUUGACAGAUGUUUCAGUUUGAGCUCCGCUUUACUGUCAUGUUGACAGAUUCUCGGUGCGGUUUGUUGAAGGAUGACACUUUCAGCACACACACACACUUGAACACACUUACACACAUAAUCGCGGCCCCGGUGGAGCACACAAACCAUCAGCUGUAACAGUGGGUCUCAUUCCCUCUGGUUUAGCUCUGGAAACAAGCCGUAACGUUGUCAGAUAUUCACAUCCAUAUCCCUCCCGUCGUCUCACAUUUGGCUCUCUGGUUAAUUAUAACGCAGACAGAUGACUGCUUGUGGUAUUUCACCGUGUCAGAGGAUCAUUAGGAAGUAAACAGGAGCUGGAAAAGUUUGUUUAACAAAUAACUGUACUUCUCAAACCCAGUCGAGUGCACAGGAAAGGAUUUAGCCGUAGAGAAACGGGUAAAUGAGGCGAGGUUUUCCGAGGACGAGAGGGGAUCAGCAAAACAUACAGGUGCAGCAUCUACAGGGGAGUGUCCAGGGAUCUAAUCCGAAACCUGCAGCUGGAAUAUUGACCGUUAAAGAUGGAGUCAACUCUACUGUGUAAUCAAACCAAUAAAAGACUCUUGUUUAGGUGUAUUUAACCUCUGAUAUCUGAAGAAAGUGAGUAACUCAGCAGGUAGGAUUCAGUGAGACAGGAACUCUGCCAGUGACAGGAGCAACACUGCCCGCUGGUAUCCUGAGAUCCAGAAAAGCCCUGAAAUACUGUCCUUACCAAGUCCCCCUCCUGGCUAACUCUUCAGGCUCAUUUAUGCUCGACAUACGUAUGAAAAUGUACGCGUCCGUUUCAAACAAUGGUUCCGUCACUGCCCACAUACUUCCAUGCGUGCUUUGCAUCCACCAGGGGGCAGGCCGGAGUCAAAAUUUCUGACAACAACAAACAAAAAGAAACAUGGCGACUGUGGAGAGGCUAAUGAUAAUAGAGGACACAGAAACGAGGGCAGCGUAGGAGGAGGCGGUGGUCGGUCAGGCGAAUAAAUGCCUCGCUGUUGGAGGACGGAGAAUUCUUUUUUCUAGUCGUACCGAUGAGAGAAAUUGACAACAAUCCUCAAAAAGCCCCGCCAUUGUCUUUCUCGUUUCUCUUUAGAGAUGCGUAUCAGGUAGUGACAGGAGCAACACUGCCCCCAUGGUUUCCGGUGUACUGCGCCGUCUGGCCUGUAUCCAUAAACUUCAAGGAUACUCGCAGAAAUACGGACGAAAGGAACGCGAAGCAUGGACGUAUCCAGAUUGGUAUAUAACGGUGAGCAAAAAUCGCUGCAGUUCCGGAUGUGAACAUCUACGAAAAGGUCGUAUCCUCCAAUCGUAGCUGAUCGUAACCAUUCAAGUUAACGUGUCAAUUUACACCGACUUCUUUCCGUUCCUCUGCGGAUCGCCAGAAUUCGCAGGUUCUUGUGAGUUCUCACGAUUCCUGCUGUCUGUAACCCGCCACAAAAUUUGCCUCACAAACAUGUGCCAACAUAAAAACGACAUUUCGUUCCAGUAAAACAAAUCUGUAAAUUGUCAGCUUGGAUGUUCAGACGGAGGAAGAAACUGGAGCUACAAAAACAUCAUGUAUACAUGUGCCAACAUAAAAACGACACUUCGUUCCAGUAAAACAAAUUUGGAAAUUGUCAGGUUGGAUGUUCAGACGGAGGAAGAAGCUGGAGAAAAAUCAAGUGAAACACAAACAUCAGAGUAAAUUUUAGAGGAGGAGUUUCUAUUUUGCCGGCAGCACUUCAGUUCAGCAGCUUUGACUUUGUCUACAGCAGCCUCUGCAGCAGCAGCAGCAGCGGUGAAGAGGAUGUGUAGCUGUUUGUUGUUGUUGUUGUUGUUGUUAUGUAUUCAGGAAGGGGAGUCCUGUCAUGUUUAAUUCAACGCACAGAGUAAAAUCAUUUAACAACAUUUCCCCCACGGAGACGUCGAGCUCUCUAUCAGCGCGGGUUUAACGCUAAAACUCAACACAGAGACCUUAUUGUGAGUUAGCGCUGCAGGGCACACACUUUAACACACACACUUAAACACACACUUACACACACAGGAACAGAGCUCUGUGGGAGUAGAUUUGAUGCAGGCUUGAUUAAGGAUCGGAUAACUGUUGAGGCGUUAAACAGAGUGUUGGGGAAAGGCGGGAAUCCCAGGUGGAGACAGAAAGCGGGGCUGAACCGCUGCUGCUAAUACCAAGUGUUUCCCUCCACCUGCUGCUCCACAUGCUCUCUGUUUCUCACUCUCCUCUCUUCGAUCCAAGCUUUAGUUUCAGGUUUUUAACACUUCCAGAUUUACAGCGUCUCAACACCUUAUCUUUUUAGAGCGGAGGUUCAGGUUCAGGAGCGAUUCAGGUCCCAUCUGCUUAAGUGAAAAGAUAACUGAGCUACAUCUAAACUCCACCUCUGAGAUUUCCCUUCACUCUGUUUAUCAACAAGCUGUCAGCCUGCAGGAGGACCUCAGGGAUCUGGUCUUGGCCCACUUAUCUUUUUUAUGAAAAUGAAUGAUGUUGUUGGAAAAACUAAAACAAUGUUCCUCUCUUUGCAGACGAUACCACCCUCUCCAUAACAGAUACAUACACGGGUCAGAGGUGGCAGCUCUAAAACACACGCUCAUGUUUGCAGAGGUAUGAUAAGAGAACAUUCCUGUCAGUGGUUUUAAAGAAGGAGGAGAAGAAGAAGAAGACAGGCUGUCAGAAGGAAAAAUCUUCUUAGAAAAUGAACGCACCGGUGAAAAGUUUCGCUGCUCUCCACUAGGUGCUUUGCAUUGUGGGUAACAGUAGGUGAAGCAGACUGGCCCGAUGCAUACUGUGAAAUUUUCCAGAAUCAGUUCGUCAUCCGGGUAUCUUUGGCAAACUACAAAUUUCACAUUUGUUCACCUACCGAAUACUGUAUUCUACAUUUUGGGUAAAUCAGUAUGUACUGCCAGGAUAGUGGGCAAAUUCAAGAACGUCCAGUUUCUCAGCGCCUCACUUUGGUUCUUUAUGCUCAUAAAUGUUGGAAAAACCAGAAAAAAUAUCCUUCAGCGCAGAGUUUUAAAAAAUUAACCAAGAUUUUAACCAAAUACAUCUAAGCUCUGCAUCAAUAGACGUAAAGUCACGCAUUCAGCUCUCUACUUUUCUGCAGAAAUCUGCAUCAUGUCCGGAUAAAUAUUGUCUUUAUUGAUUUUACUAAAGCAGUAACAUCACUCCUCAGUGUUCCAGUUUUAGUCCGGGCAUCCUUCAGUGUAAAAUCCUCUCCAGGUUGUGGUUUGGAUCAUCCAGGAGGAACUGGGAACCAUCAGUUUUGGCCUGUAAAAACACGCCGUAUAAGAGUCCGAGUCGGUGAAUUUGCUGAACCUUCGGUCCGUCAUUAACUGUGUUUCUGCAGCCCUGGACUCUCUGAGCUGCAGGCAAAGUCAGCCGCUAAAGAAACAGGACAAUUACAGACAUAAUGAACGGCGCCGAGAGGAGGAAUUAAAAUUUAAACGGGGCCAGGUGUACCGCCGAACGAGAGCUGAAUACGCCGCCAGGUUUAUGAAAUUAACCACAAGGACGAAUAAUCAAACUGAAAUCUGUGAAUGUAGAUUUCUGCGACUCCUCACCAGAUCUAGAGAGCGAGGAGCUGGUUUCUCAAAGACCAUGAUCCAGGUCUGACUUUUCCUUUUCUCUCAUUCAGAGGGUUAAAAAUCGUCCUGAUAUUUAUGUCGGUUGUUUACUGCGGCGUGAACUUCCUCUCUGAUGACCUUAUUUCCUCCAAACUUUGAAACGGAGGGUCGUUGUUAAAUGAUGUUAUUAAUCAGCGCCCAGAGGAGAGAGGAAACACUAAUGACCUUUAUAAUGAGAGGGCUGAAGACCACGCCAUCAUCCCUCCUUCCUCGCUGCUCUUUUGUCCUCUCUCCUCCUCAUUUCCUUUCUUUUCUUGUCGUCUCUGAAGGUUUGUGACCUUCCCUGUUUUUCUCGUUGUUUUCUCUCUUUCUUAAUUUAAAAUGGAGGAGCGGUUUUGUUUUCUUCUUCUGUAUGAACCACGAUGACUUCAGGGCGGCCUCGUGACUCUGAAACUUCAACUCUUCUGCUCCUCUUUGUAUCUCAUUAAAAAGUUUGUAAUCGCCCUUUAAAGCAGUGGAAAAAAAAAACACUAGGGCUUCGUCUGUCAAUAACCAUUGCAAAAAAAACUUUGAUCCAACAAAAUUAAUUUAUUUCUUUAUAAAGAGAUGGAAACAGACGUUAGUUUUAUGCUUAUUUCUAUCAGUAAAGUCAGUCCAUUACGGACUACAGCGGGGUGCCGCAGCUCAAGGAAGAACAUUUAUGAUAAUUUCUUCAUGGAAAUACAAUCAGACCGAGACGCUAAGACAGAAGAACUACCGUGUCUGUAAAAUGAUUAAUAUGGUGAUUAUUACUUCAAGGAAAUGAUAAAGAAAUGAUCAUAAAUGUUCUUCCUUGGGCUGCGGCACCCCGCUGUAGUCCGUAAUGGACUACAAACAAGCGUCUGCUGGAAGAGAGUAGGUGAGUUGUGUUUAGUCUCUUUGCUAAAGAAAUGAGUCAAAGUUAAAAAGAUGUUUAGUGUCUAGUAUUAUGGCUGGGGCCCUAUAUGUACUAACCUGAGUAGAUCAUAAUGUAGUUCCAUUUAGUAACAGAACCUCAUUGGAAAAUUAGCUGAUUUAACUUUACUGUGCUCUUGUUCAAAUAUAUUAACUCGACAGCACAUAAAUCCAUACCUGUUAACAAAAUCAUGAUUUUAUUGAUAAUUCGGCUCAAUAAAAACACCUUUACCUUUUUAUUUUACUACAGUAGAAGUUUCUUGGCCCAGCUUAUAGACUACAGAAGUGAAGAAACGCCCCCCGCUUACGUUUUCUUAGGAGUUAGAACAACUCUGGCAACAUUCAUCUCUGGAGGGGGUGUCUGACUUGGUGUUAUGGUGUGUUUGACCCUAAAUUAAUUUUACGCUGAAAUAUCCCUUUAAAUGCCUGUCUUUUCUGGUCCUGUUGGACCUCAGUCCUGACUCCUGAGUCCUCAGCUGCCCCGGUUCUCACUUGGACACUUUCUGCUGUUUGUCCUUUAAUGAGAAGAUACAGCUUCUCUACGUGUGGGCGCUCCUGAUUUCCAUGCAGACUGUGACAUUUCUGAGUUGUGCACAGGUCCAAACACAACAUUACCCAACGUGAGCGUUUAACUCUGCUGAUGGAACAUGUGGGCAUGCAUUUAGAUUUGAUUUCGCCCGUCAGCAAACAUAACGAGCUGAUGGAUCCAGAAGAACAUGAAGCUCCUCUGGUUCGACCUCUGACCUCUGGAGGAAGCUGUUAUCUCGUAUGUUCCAGGAAUAAUUAGUUUGCAUCGUUCUGUAUGUUUGGAUAAUUGAGCAUCUUUACAGUCACUUGGUUAUUUUCCUGACUGUUGCUAUGGCGACGCAGAUUUCUAACCACCACUCAGAGUCGGACUACAUAAAUGAUUUGACAGCUGCAAUUUUAGACACGCUUUAAAACAAAGUGAAGGAAGAAAAAAAGCUUUUUCUUCUUCUUAGAGUCUGCAAACAAGAAAAUAAAACAAAACUUUUUAAUGUCACAGAGGAAGAGGAGGAGGAGGAAGAGUUAACGCCAACCCACAAACUCUUCACGUCGAGGUCAAAGUUCGUUUUCAUGUAAGAAAAACAGAGUAAUUUAGUUUAAUUCUUUACAAACAUGUUCAAAAUAAAAAACACUAAAGUAAAAAAUCACAAAUUAAAGCUGCAGUUAGUGAUGAUCAGGACUGUACAUCGUUGUGCGCGUGGAAACUUUCAUGUAUGGAGAAACUGUGAUUGUGCGUCAGCUGCAACGGCGCCCCCUUGUGCUGCAUGUUUAAUUUGAAGUGAGUGAAAGAGUGAAGCUUAAACUUGGACAGAGUUAUAAUCUUAAAGGAAACACAUGAAUGAAAAAGGCUUAUUUAAAUUAGCAUGCAGGAGUUUAUGCUGCUUCUGUCCACUAGGUGGCAGUAUAGGUUUAAAAAAAUAUACAUGUAGAUGAGUUCUGGCUGAGAUGGUUAUAAUACAUCUGAAAUUUAAAAAAGAUCAAACAUUGAAUGUUAAAGUUCGUGUUGUGUGUUUCCACAUGGUGGCGCUGUGACAGUAGUGAAGAUAUGAGUGUGUGGUUUUUUUUAGGGGUGGACUUUUUAAUGAUUUAUGUGAAAAAUCAAUAAAAACUGUAUGAAGGAGUAAUAACAAAUUCCUGUUACAUGGCAAGACUUCUGACUAUGAAGCACACGGCCACACCCUUUCAAAAUAAAAUACUGGACUUCCUGUUGGGUUUAGCGUACGGCUGCAAGAGGAGUUUUUGUACGUCUUAGCAUGAUACAUAAGUGAAAGAAAUGUCAUGCAUGUAGGAUACAAUAAGACGCCACUGGAUACGAUAAGGUACCAUUUGAUACAAUAUGUUGAUACGAUAAGACGAUAAUGUACGAUUCGAUAUGAUUCAAUAUAAAUAUAUACAAUAAGAUACGAUAUGAUAAAGUCCCAUAUGAUUCGAUACAAUAAGAUACAAUACAAUAUGAUUCCAUAAGAUAUGAUAAGGUUCGAUAUGAUAAGAUGUGAAUUAAUAAGAUACAAUACAAUACCAUUCAAUAAGAAACCAUAAUUUUCGAUACAACACGAUAAGAUUCGAUAGGAUAAGAUCGUGUUAAACCUUGUGGUGGAAAUUUGGAAAUUAUCCUUUUUUAGUUUUUUCCUUAAAUCCACCAAGUCAUCAAAGUUUUGACCAGUCCUGAUGCAUGUGCAGAAAAAGUCGAGUUUGUGGGUCACGUAAAUCUGUAAACAUGCAGGAGAAGGACAGAGGGAACGUGUUUGGGGCUCACGCUCGAAUGAAAAUGGAGAAAUCCUUUUAGCAGGUGUCAGAUUAUGAUCAGCAAACACGGUUCAGACAGACAGAAACCAGAUCAGAGCUCAGACUGACAGAGACAGGACCGUCGUCUUCAUUAGAGUCUCGGCUCUUUUCUUUCAGACGUGUGAAGUGACAGCGAGGAGGAUGAGGACAGAGACAGAAAUGAAGUCCUCUGUUAUUGAUCUUGGAUGUUGUAACCAGCUUAACCAGCACGUUGUGUUUUAAUCAGAGCGGCGUCUGCUGCUGCUGCUGCUGGGACACUUUGAUGCUCACUGUACGGAUCAAUUAACCGCCGUCCAUGGCGUGGGCGAGGACAACACCGACAGGAGCAGGAGGAAGGCGGCUUUACUUUGUUCACUUUACUGUGGAACUUCUGUUGUGACAUUUUAUCACAGCGAGGAAACCUGACCUUCGACCUCAAGUCUGUAAAAGUGGUCUGGGUAGAAGACAUCCUCUUUACCUUCUCGACUGUGGAGGAACAUUGAGCUCCUGACCCUCCUUCUCCAUCAGUCUGAGUCAUGAACUCCUACAGAAACGUCUCUGUUAAAGGUUUUUUAUUUCACACUCUGAGGUUUGGAUUUGUUUGUGAUUUUCUACAAACAGCUCGAUCUCUUUAACAGAAUAAACGAACAUCUCUGACUCCAGCGCAGAUCUGUUGCUCCAGCACCUUCACGUUAAUCCCACAGGGUUAUCGGUCUUUGAGAGGAGCUGUGUGGAGAUAACAGGAGUGGUAGACACAGUUUUACACAUGAACUAAUGAUGAGAUAAAGAGUUCCCCUCGUGGUCAAACAUUAGGAUGAUGCUGACAGCAGGUCUGGGCCCUGAUACCGUCCCUGUGAUUUCAGCUUCAGACUCAAACUAAAAAAGUCAGAAAGCUCAGAGAGAGAUUUUUCAUCUGAAUAUUUUCCUCUUAUCCAGAGUCAAAGUGACACUUGAGCGCCGAGUGUCUCUCUUGAGACUCUCAGUCUUCUCUGUGUGACAGUUUCUGUCUAUUCACGCUGAAACUGGAGUCACGCCAAGGACGCACGUCCAACAAGUCCGGCUCCCCGAGGACAGAAACACAGACACACCUCCUUUUGUCGUCGUCGUUGUUGUGAUGAUGAAGUGACCUUGGACUGCUUGUUUUUGGAAGAAUUUGACACAAAGCCUCCUCCUCCUCCUCCUCCUCUUCCUCCUCCUCCUCUUCCUCACACUGGUAAAGAGUUUCUGUGGUUAUUCAGCAGACAAAGACUCCUCAGAGAGACCGACUGUACAGGGUUUGAAGAGCGGAGCUGCAGGAUUAUUAUUCAGUACCUGAAGAGCGCCGACGCUUCAUUAGCGGCGGAUCACGCUCCCUAAUGACAUCAUUAUGUGGUUAACAAGUAAUGAGGAGCAGGUGUGUCUGCAGCAGCUAACAGCUGCUGGUUCCAGCUCUGCCGCUGUCUGUGGUGCUGAAGUAGGAAGAACGGUCUGUGGUCUGCUGGACUGUUUCACCGAUAACACAAGAAGAAGAAGAAGAAGAGAGUCAGUGAGGACAGAUUAUCUCACCCCCGAUUUCCAAUGUAUCCACAAAGUCUACUAAAAUGUCGUAUCCUCCGAUCGUAGCUGAUCGUAACCAUUCAAGUUAACGUGUCAAUUUACACCGACUUCUUUCCGUUCCUCUGCAGAUCGCCGGACUCCUCAGCUGAUCUCAAGAGUUCUAUUUUUUCUGGACGCCGGAGCAUGGCGGAUAAAUUCAGCACAGAUUAACCCGUGCUGGAAAGGAAGUCGGGCACAGACACAAAAUAAAACAUCCGGCUUCUACCAAUAAGUCGACCAGCCGACAAGGACUUCACAGCCCUAGUCCUGAUGAAUAUGUUGUUUUAAACUGAGGAUGCAGCAUCUAUGAUUUCUAGUUCUUUCCAAAAGAGUGUUACCCUCAAUUUCCACCACAUCCACAAUGACUACAAAAAGGUCGUAUAAUCCGAUUUUAGCUGAUCAUAACCAUUCAAGUUAACAUGUCAGUUUCCACCGCCUUGUUUCCGUUCCUCUGCGGAUCGCUGGCCAGAGCAUGCCGGAAAAAUUCUCCGUGUUUCAGGAGGAUCGUAUUUCACACCAUGCAAACGGGCGGAGACAAACAAGUGAAAGGUUUUUAGACGUCAUUUCACCCCGAUGACACCAUGGAUGAGGAGAUGCUGAUUCUAGAAGUAGAUUUCCUCCUCUGGAAGGACACAAUCUACUGCUUAAACAACUCGUUAUCGUGCGAUUGAACGUGAAUCUACAGGUUAUUGUGAGUUCUCACGAUUCCGGUGUCCGUAAUUCGAUACGAAAUUCGCCUCACAAACGGAUCUGGUAGGAAUUGGCGUACAGUGAACGUUGCCGCUGUUCUGGAUUGGAGCUGUUUCGAUGAACACCACAGAGCUGCAGAAACAAACAAUUUUAUUCCUGACAGCCGCCGGUCUCACGAGUGAGUGGAUUUUAAAGUUCAUCAGUAUAUUGAAACCCCAAAUUGAAGAUGAUCCCACUUUUAUGCGUCCAUUUUGAGUAGAAAUGUUCUUCUCUUCUGGUCGACAUGAUAACUUAGAUCUGCUUUCUCAGCGUGAUCAGACUUUCACAGAGUUUUUCUCUCUUUCUGUUUCCAAGAUUAAGAAACUUUUAAAGUCCACAUUAGAUCUGCAUCUUUUACUCCAAUAUCUGUAAAGCCUCCGUGUUUUUAUAGGAUCAGAUUCAUCGAAGCAGCGGGGACGUUGUAAAGCUUUACUCGUCUAGACGUAUAACAACAUCCAGCCUGAACAUAAACAGAAAAACAGAAACGCAGCAGAUAGAAGUGAGACGAGGAAACAAACGGCGAGCUCAGAAUGAAAAGAGCAGAACUGCUGCAGCUGUGGAGAGAGACAGAGGCAUUAAAGUGAUUUACACGCCGAGAUGAAAGUGUUUAUGGGUGUGCAUUAAUUAUCUGCAAUCACACUGUUUAUACGCUCCUUUUAUUGUCGCCUCUGCACCGCAGGAGAGGCAGCUGUGAUCUGUGCAGAGAGCACUUCACCGCCGCUCUGCUCGAGGUCAUCGUGUCGGAGAGCCUUCAGUAAGCGCGCCGACGUGAUGGAAUGACCUUCAGAGCGACACACGUGUACGCGCGCACUCAAGAUUUAAACUGUGGAGUCACAGGAGGCUGAACCUGCAGAAACACCACAGAGAGAGAGAGAGAGAGUCAGAUUAGAGAGAGAGUCAGGUUAGAGAGAGUCAGAUUAGAGAGAGUCAGGUUAGGAGAGUCAGGUUAGAGAGAGUCAGGUUAGGAGAGUCAGGUUAGAGAGAGUCAGAUUAGGAGAGUCAGGUUAGGAGAGUCAGAUUAGAGAGAGUCAGGUAAGAGAGAGUCAGGUUAGGAGAGUCAGAUUAGAGAGAGUCAGGUUAGAGAGAGUCAGAUUAGAGAGAGAGUCACAUUAGGAGAGUAAGGUUAGAGAGAGUCAGAUUAGGAGAGUCAGGUUAGAGAGAGUCAGAUUAGGAGAGUCAGGUUAGAGAGAGUCAGGUUAGGAGAGUCAGGUUAGAGAGAGUCAGAUUAGGAGAGUCAGGUUAGAGAGAGUCAGAUUAGGGGAGUCAGGUUAAGAGAGUUAGAUUAGGAGAGUCAGGUUAGAGAGAGUCAGAUUAGGGGAGUCAGAUUAGGAGAGUCAGGUUAGAGAGAGUCAGAUUAUAGAGAGUCAGAUUAGGAGAGUCAGAUUAGAGAGAGUCAAAUUAUAGAGAGUCAGAUUAGGAGAGUCAGGUUAGAGAGAGUCAGAUUAUAGAGAGUCAGAUUAGAGAGAGUCAGGUUAGGAGAGUCAGAUUAGAGAGAGUCAGGUUAGAGAGAGUCAGAUUAGGAGAGUCAGGUUAGGAGAGUCAGAUUAGGGGAGUCAGGUUAGGAGAGUCAGAUUAGGAGAGUAAGGUUAGAGAGAGUCAGAUUAGGGGAGUCGGGUUAGGAGAGUCAGAUUAGGAGAGUCAGGUUAGGAGAGUCAGAUUAGAGCGAGUCAGAUUAGAGCAAGUCAGAUUAGGAGAGUCAGAUUAGGAGAGAUAGAUUAGAGAGAGUCAAAUUAUAGAGAGUCAGAUUAGAGAGAGUCACAUUAGAGAGAGUCACAUUAGAGAGUCAGAUUAUAGAGAGUCAGAUUAGAGAGAGUCAGGUUAGGAGAGUCAGAUUAGAGAGAGUCAGAUUAGAGAGAGUCAGGUUAGAGAGAGUCAGAUUAGGAGAGUCAGGUUAGGAGAGGAUUUUACAACAUGGCCGACGAACUGUUGUUGUUUAUUUCAGAGAAAACACAUCAGUAAAUCAGAACCAAAGAGAGGGAAACUGAACAACCUUCAGGAGCAGGAAACCAGUUUUGUCCGGUCUACCUCCGUUUUAAGCGCCCGUUAUUCCUCCAGAGUCUCCGGUAUUUACUUUGUUUUCUUGCUUGUGUCGGCAGUCGUGGCCAAAGGAGGAUUCAGACAAUUUUCCGAACUUUCUGGUUGGUUUCUACUGUCCGAUAUUGUAGCACGCUAACUUUGUUCGGGCGAACAGAGAGAUAUAGUUAUAUUACCAAAUGUCAUCAAUAACUAUUGACUGAUAUUAGAAGAUUUUUGUAUAAAAACCACAAAAUAAAAAGAUGCUUCUUUAACAGAUUCCUGUCUACUUCACCUUUAAGUUGGUUUUCUUCUCGUGGUCCAGACUUCUGUCCUUAGACUAGAGAUCAGCUGGACUCUCUCAUAUGAACACUGAGUUCUUGUUGCUGAUGUGGAUCUGUGUGAGUCUGAGUGUGUUUGUGUUUUGCUGCCAUUCUUGGUCAGGACCCCCCCUGAAAAAGAGAUUGAUGAUCUCAACAGGACUAGUCUGGUUACAUCAAAUCAAAAAGACACACAACCUGCCUCCUGUCUUUGUCCUCUACAGAAAACCUGAUCCAGCUGCAGGACUCACAUCUGGGACAUGGAAGACCACAUGGAUCCAUGACCCAGACGGAGCGGUAACAUGACAUCCAGCAGAAACAAACACAAUAAAGACAAACAGACGAGGUGAUUUCAGUGACUCAGUUUGAGGAUUUUUAUGAUUUUUUUACCCACAAUCAGAGACUUGACCACAAUCUGAGCUGAGUCAGAAACAUCCAAACAGUCGGACUAAUGAAUGUGAUUAUUAUUAUUAGAGUGAUUGAAAAGCUCAUAACAACAUGUAGAUCUGUCCAAAGUCUGAUUCUAGAUGUCUUUACAAACACACUGAUCCAACAGAAGCAGACAGAAAUAUCCAUCGAUCACAUGAACACAAAUAUUCAGCAAACAGAGAAAGAAACAGAUCAUCUGAAGAGUUUUUGGGGACGACUGGAAAGACUUUAGACGCUUGGAUUUGGGACAGGAAAUAAGGUCGUCCUUUUUCUGUGAUUUUGACCUCACUUUUUUCUAAAGUCUCAGACCUUCAACAUCUGCACCAACUGAAGGUGAUUUGAACAAACCAUCAUCUUGAUGUUGUUGAUAUCAAACUGGAUGAAGAUUUUUCAACAUGAGAAAUACAAACAAUCAAAGUUCUCCACAAUCACUGUCCUUAAAGCUGCGACCAAAUCAGCAUCUUUAGAAAAGAAUCAAAAAGCUGAAAUGAAGAACUAAACCCAGAGUUUUUGGUGAGACUGAUCCACAAACAUUUACAAACCAGAACAUUUCAAGAGUUCAAGGAUCUCAGUCCAUGAUUUUGGUCUGAUGGACUCAAAAUUCUCUUUAGUUCACUUCUAUAAACUCAGCAGAGGCUCCAUCAAACCAUAACCCCAGUCCAGCAUGUAGAGGUUCAGUGAAUGUGGUCUGGACUCUGUGGAGGAGAGUCAUGGUUUUAGAGACGCUGUAGAAGGACAGAAUACCUGCUCUGUGAUCCAGGAACACUCCUACUCUGGAGGACCGAGGACCUGAGACAGGAGUGAAGACUUUGUUGUGCCAAAAUGUAUAACAAGAUUUAGAACAGUCUAACCUCCAAGAUUUGUCAUUGAAUCCAAAUAAACAAUCCUCUGAGUCUCCGUCUCUCCUGAUAGUCUUGUAUACGACUGCUACAUCAACCCUGUCCCCUCUCCAGUCCACCUCCCAGUAACAACGUCCAGUCAGACUCUCUCUACUCAGGACCUGAAUCCUACCAGUGAAUCUGUCUGGAUGAUCAGGAUAAGACUCUUCUUCUUCUUCUUCUUCUGUCUUUGUUGCUCUUCUGUUUCCAUCAGAUAAUAUCAGCUCUCUGUUUACUGUGUUUGGAUCCAGUGUGAUUCUUUGUGAAUAUCUUAAGAAACCAGCUCUGGUCUUGGGUUCUGCUGGUUCUGGUGGUUCUAACAGUAAAACAUCCACAUCAGUCACUGCCUGUGAGACGUUUGUCCACGUCUCUGUCAGAAGAUCCUGGAGUUUCUCUCUGAGCUCUGACACAGCUGCUGUCACCUCCUCAAAGUAUCUCUGAGGACGGAUGUUGAUUCUGGAUGAGUCUGCAGGUUGACCCGGUUCUGACAGUGAGGGGUAGCUGUGCAGAAACUGGUUGUGGUCCUCUGUGAGUGAGAGCUUCUGCAGAUCAGCGUCUUUCCUCUUCAGCUCAGUGAUCUCCUGCUCCAUCUUCUCCUGAAGCUCUUUGACUCGACUCACUUCACGUUCCUGCUGGGAUCUGACCUGCUGCUCCACCUCAGAGCGGCGUUUCUCCAUCAGACGGAUCAGCUGGCUGAAGAUCUUCUGGCUGUGGUCCACAGCUUUAUCAGCAGAGCCGUUGAUAGCCUCCACCUCCUGUUGGAGCAGCUUCACAUCUUCUUCUCUGUCCUGGAUUCUCUGCUGGAUGUUUCCUCGACUCUCCUCCAGAUCUUUCUGCCUCUCAGUCCUUUCUGCUGCAGCUGAGACUGUGUCGUGACCUUUGUGUUGUUCCACAGAGCAGAGGUAACAGAUGGACUUCUGAUCAGUGCGGCAGAAGAUCUUCAUCACCUCAUCAUGACGAGAGCAGAUGUUCUCCUGGAGCGUCUUGGAGGGCUCCACCAGCUUGUGUUUCUUAAAUGAAGGAGAUUCAAAAUGAGGCUGGAGGUGAAUCUGACAGUAAGAAACCAGACAUUGAAGACAGGACUUGACAGCUUUCAGUUUUCUCCCACUGCAGAAAUCACAGGCCACAUCUUCAGGUCCAGCCUCAGAGGAACCAUCAGGAGCAGCUUGGAGUCCGCUCUUCUUCACUUCCUCCACUAAACCUGCUAACAUGGUGUUUUUCUUCAGGACAGGCCUCGGUCUGAAGGUCUCUCUGCACUGAGGACAGCUGUAGAUCAUCCUCUCAACCUCAGUAUCCCAGUGGGAUUGAAUACAGCUCAUGCAGAAGCUGUGUCCACAGGAGACAGUCACCGGAUCCUUCAGAAGAUCCAAACAGAUGGAACAAGAGAAAGACUCACGGUCCAGAUGAACUCCUUUCUGCGCCAUUUCAACACUCGCUGUCGACGACUGACUGACUGAGUUUUAUUUCCUGAGAAGUGAAACUAGUCUGAGCUCUGAUCUCAACAACAUGAGUGAGUCAACAGGAUAUGACCUCAGCACACGGAGGUUACAGCCAACCAAGACUGUAGAUCUGAAGGGGGAGGGAGGAUGGAAGGGGAGGGAACAAGGAAGUGAGAGUGCAGAGUGGAGUGAGCUGAGAGAGACGAGGGAGGGGGGGAUCCAGUUUGUCUACAAUCCAGGAGGAGGAGCGUCUCUGUGAACUUUAGACUCUCAAACUCCAACAAGCAGAAGUUCUUAAAGCUGCAGCCGUCCUGAAGAUCAACUGAACCAACAUUUAUUCACCUCAUAGAAACCUCAUCGAGCAGAAACACACUUCAACUGUUUUAGAGCCACAGAGUUAAAGGGACAACACAGAGAAACACUCUCUCUCUCUCUCUCUCUCUCUCUCUCUCUCUCUCUCUCUCUCUCUCUCUCUCUCUCUCUCUCUCUCUCAAGCCCCGCCCACAAACAGACGCUCCUGCUCGCUCGUAUCGUUCCAGUUAAAUUCAGAUAUAAUGCAGAUAAAUACUUCAGAUCAUUACAAAUGGGGCCCAGUCAAGGUGAAAGUCAAAAGCAUUGGUGCUACUGUAGAUGCCAACAGACUACCAGCAAACACAAUGUUUGCAGGACUUCUACAACGAGGAUAAAGUGACAUAGUCCAGGACCCGAGGGAGGACAGUUUAGCGAUGGCGCUACAACACGCUACAGCAGGUCCGUUUGACAAGAAACACUUCUGUUACAGACACUUGUCUUACUUUGUUAAAGCGGUUUACCUGUCCAGCAGAAAGGUUACAGGGUCACGAAGAUCCCCAAGCGUCCCCCAUCGUUUAUGUUGACCCGGCUUUUUAGCUCUUGUCCGGUCUACCUCCGUUUUAAGCGCCCGUUAUUCCUCCAGAGUCUCCGGUAUUUACUUUGUUUUCUUGCUUGUGUCGGCAGUCGUGGCCAAAGGAGGAUUCAGACAAUUUUCCGAACUUUCUGGUUGGUUUCUACUGUCCGAUAUUGUAGCACGCUAACUUUGUUUGGGCUCCUGAACGACACGGGGGAGCAGCGUCUGCCUCACAACCAAUCAGGUUAGAGGAGGUGGAGAACGGCUUUGUUUACAGUCAGAAAGAGCGGACCGCUCAAAAAUGUUCAAAUGUUGACGACACAGACAGAAGAGAACACAGAGAUAUCGAUAUAUUACCAAAUGUCAUCAAUAACUAAUAAAAAAAGAUGCUUCUUUAACGGUUCCCUAACUACCCUUCCUUAAAUGUUCUCGAUUUUUACUCUUAUUUGAUAUAAGUAUGUUUUCAGAAGAUACUUAAACUUUGAGAACAUGAUACAAAGUCUUUAUCUUGAGUUCAUGUGAUGUAAACUCGUGUUUAUGAAAAGAUGACUGUAUUUCUCUGUUUCUCAGUCAGGGUUAAAGCUUGUUUUAGAGCGUCCUCCUCACCCAUCUCUGAACCUCAUCUCAUCCUUGAACCCGUCUCUGAGCACAUGUGGUUUCAUGGGUUUUAAACAUCAUGUACAGAACAUUAGAUCGCCUUCAGGUGUGAACUGUGAGGCUCGGUUCUCAUCUGAGACUGUGUUACACGUGUGAUAAUUCGACUGUUAUUAGAAAACCUUUAAAAAGGAGAUAUUCAUUCAUUCAUUCAUAGAAGAGCGUGGAGCCUUCAUUGUGUUCAUCCUCAUUGUGUUUCCUUUCUUUGUGUUUUCUUCCUUCACCUCUCAGGGUCUCCUCUCCCUCCAUCCCUCCGUCUCCUCAGGUCACAGUCGGACCUUCACACGGUCAGAAUCUUGAACCCGUCCUCAGCAGACUGAACAGAAACCCAUUUAGCAGAGCGGAUUUUCUGAUUAAAGUCUGCCCGAGUUGGAAAUGACUGCAUGCAUAAAGAGCUAAAGAGGAUGUCUGGCUUAGCGUAGUGAAUUAUUAGUUCAUUUGCAUUUUAAUUAUUAAGGUUUUCAGGCCGUUUGCAGCGGUUUAUUAGGAUUAAAGCAAAAACACUCAGAGCUCGG